AGUAGUUUGACUCCGUCGGCUCAGGACGAACGCUGGCGGCGCGCCUAACACAUGCAAGUCGAACGGAGCCGAGAGGAGCUUGCUUUUCUCAGCUUAGUGGCGAACGGGUGAGUAACGCGUGAGUAACCUGCCCUGGAGUGGGGGACAACAGUUGGAAACGACUGCUAAUACCGCAUAAGCCCACGGAUCCGCAUGGAUCUGCGGGAAAAGGAUUUAUUCGCUUCAGGAUGGACUCGCGUCCAAUUAGCUAGUUGGUGAGGUAACGACCCACCAAGGCGACGAUUGGUAGCCGGACUGAGAGGUUGAACGGCCACAUUGGGACUGAGACACGGCCCAGACUCCUACGGGAGGCAGCAGGUGGGGGAUAUUGCACAAUGGGGAAACCCUGAUGCAGCGACGCCGCGUGGAGGAAGAAGGUUUUCGGAUUGUAAACUCCUGUCGUUAGGGACGAUAAUGACGGUACCUAACAAGAAAGCACCGGCUAACUACGUG
rnacentral:rRNA from 1 species